GAUUAACGUUGGCAGUGUGCCUAACACAUGCAAGUCGAGCGAUAUAGCGGCAGACGAGAGAGUAAUAAUAAGGAACUUACCCCUAAGUGGAGGAUAGCCCACCGAAAGGUGGGGUAAUCCUGCAUAACAUCGAGAGAUCAAAGCCUUCGGGCGCUUAGGGAGAGGCCUUAUGCCUAUCAGCUAGUUGGUGAGGUAAAUGCUUACCAAGGCGAUGACGGGUAGCUGGCCUGAGAGGGUGACCAGCCUCGAUGGGACUGAGACACGGCCCAUACUCCUACGGGAGGCAGCAGUUGGGGAUUUUGCACAAUGGGCGAAAGCCUGAUGCAGCAACACUGCGUGAAGGAUGAAGGUUCUCGGAUCGUAAACUUCUUUUAUCAGGGAAUAAUCUUGAAGGUACCUGAUGAAUAAGCACCGGCUAACUACGUGCCAGCAGCCGCGGUAAGACGUAGCGU
rnacentral:rRNA from 1 species